rnacentral:lncRNA from 10 species
AUUAAUUUUUUAAUUUUUUAUUAUUAAAAACUCCAAUUACUACAAAAUAGAAAAAUACUUUGGAGUUUAUUAAACUGUUAGUUUAAAAGGUUCCAUUUGAUCAGGAUAAGGUCCAUACCUUGAUUGGUAAGUUUGAGUCUUUAUAGAUUCUGUUUUUUCCAUGUAGGAUUCUUGUUAAAGAAAUUCAUUAUUUUGUGGAGUUCGUACUCUGGAUUUUGAAGGUUGGAUAAUCAUUUAACACAUUCCUCUAUUAAACAACCUCCCCCCACCUGUAUUUCAUGUAAAUUACUGCUUAGAUAGAUUGUAAGCAUAU